rnacentral:rRNA from 1 species
AUUGAACGCUGGCGGCAUGCUUUACACAUGCAAGUCGAACGGUAACAGGCCGCAAGGUGCUGACGAGUGGCGAACGGGUGAGUAAUGCAUCGGAACGUGCCCAGUCGUGGGGGAUAACGCAGCGAAAGCUGCGCUAAUACCGCAUACGAUCUGUGGAUGAAAGCGGGGGACCGUAAGGCCUCGCGCGAUUGGAGCGGCCGAUGUCAGAUUAGGUAGUUGGUGGGGUAGAGGCUCACCAAGCCAACGAUCUGUAGCUGGUCUGGGAGGACGACCAGCCACACUGGGACUGAGACACGGCCCAGACUCCUACGGGAGGCAGCAGUGGGGAAUUUUGGACAAUGGGCGCAAGCCUGAUCCAGCAAUGCCGCGUGCAGGAAGAAGGCCUUCGGGUUGUAAACUGCUUUUGUACGGAACGAAACGGUCCUGGUUAAUACCUGGGGCUAAUGACGGUACCGUAAGAAUAAGCACCGGCUAACUACGUGCCAGCCGCCGCCGUAACAC